UACGGGGGGAGCAAGCGUUGUUCGGAUUUACUGGGCGUAAAGGGCGCGUAGGCGGCCAGCACAAGUCAGUUGUGAAAUCUCCGGGCUUAACUCGGAAAGGUCAACUGAUACUGUGCGGCUAGAGUGCAGAAGGGGCAACUGGAAUUCUCGGUGUAGCGGUGAAAUGCGUAGAUAUCGAGAGGAACACCUGCGGCGAAGGCGGGUUGCUGGGCUGACACUGACGCUGAUGCGCGAAAGCCAGGGUAGCAAACGGG
rnacentral:rRNA from 1 species